UACGGGGGGUGCAAGCGUUAUCCGGAAUUAUUGGGCGUAAAGCGUCCGCAGGUGGUCUUUCAAGUCUGCCGUCAAAGCGUGCGGCUUAACCGCAUACCGGCGGUGGAAACUGUGAGACUAGAGAGCAGUAGGGGUAGCGGGAAUUCCUGGUGUAGCGGUGAAAUGCGUAGAUAUCAGGAGGAACACCGAUGGCGAAAGCAGCUUUCUAGACGAUUCCUGACCCUGAGGCACGAAGGCCAGGGGAGCAAACGGG
rnacentral:rRNA from 1 species